AAUUCAAUGUUUAGCAUUUUAGCUAACACUGAAUUCUCCUAAACUGCUGCAUAAAUUCUAACCUGCUACGAAAAAGUUUAUCUGACGGUCAUUUGACUAAAUCUGGAUCCCUUCUAGGCGGGAGAAGUGCGUGAUAUCUUCCAAGUGAAAGUGAAAGUCUCCAGCUCCCCAUUUCUUGUAAGAGACGACGCUCUACUGUCGACUGCAAAAAGUUGAAGAAUUAAGUUAAACAGCCAGACCCGUUGGUAUCGUCAGCUUUCCAUACACUGGGUGAGAGACCACGCGCCACUGUCGACUGCAAAAAGUUGAAGAAUUAAGGAGACUGGAGUUAAAGAAACAACAGUGACCAAACACCACCAUGGAAAACGACAUGUACGAUUAUCUUCCGGAUCCUGACGAUGACAAUUACCUCCCUGAGGAUAUUGCAGUGUCAGUGCUUCUUCUGCUUGGUAUUUGCCUCCCUGCCCUUGGUUGGAUUAUCAUCCUGUCUCUCUGCUGUAAACGCUGGGAAAGAAAACAUGUCACAUUUUUUCUCGUGUCCCUCCUUAUCACUAACACUCUGCAGCUGAUCAGUUCCCCUUUUAUUGUGGAAGCUGUGCUAACCGGGGUUCCCUGUUGGCAUGUUAGUUGGUGGUGCACUACAGUAUACAUACUGUUUUCGGUGUCAAGAUUCUGCGGCCUGUUUUUGCACCUGUGGGUUGCUCUGGAGAAGAUCUGGAUUCUGAGUCAUCGAAGGGUUAAAAGUUUGUUGAUUUUGGGUUUUUCUGUGUGCUUGUUAUACAUUUCUUUUGCAGUCCUUGUGCAUUUGUUUGAUGUUAAUUACUUAUUAUUCUGUAUUUUGAAUACUUUCUUUGGAUUGUUUGCUUUGGGCACAGCUGCUGCAGCAUGUGUGGGAGCCCUCAAACCCGUGCCAACACGGAACCUCACAGCUAAAUGUCAGAGUUUGAAGGUAUUAGCAGUGGCCAUGUUUACUUUUAUGAUACUCUAUGUUCCUGAGUUCCUCUACCAUAUAAUACAAACCUUCAGACCUGCUGGGACGGAGUGGUUUGGUUAUGUUGUCCUCUACCUGCCGUGUCUGAGACCCAUCACUGACUGUGUCCUGUGCUGGUUUGUUUGCAUGGACAGGAAGCGAGAGCAGCAACCAACAGACGUAGAACUCAAUUCACCUAUCCUCGAUUCCUCUCGUUCUGUCACCUUGCCUUCUUAACGCAUUGGAGAAGGACCAUGGAACGGGACCUCCAAUAGGGGAGGAUGAGAGAUUAUGUAACAGUAGGCCGAACAACAUGUGCAGGUGGCAAUCCUCACAGGGUGUCAAGUUUAAGGGCUGCAUCGGACAAUUUUCAUCCAGACAUACUGAACAGUUAUAACGGCACGAGUGCCCCCCCUUUCGGGUGUAGCCGGUAUGGCACGAUGGACAGACAUAUGGUGCGCCUAAAAACGCUGUGAUGUUAGUAAUGGCAUAGUAAUGUUCGUUUUGCACAUAAAAGUACAGAAUCUGAGGAUGAGGUUGGGGGUUGUUUUGGAAUUUCAAGAGAGCUGCAUUAGCUCUACCGUGGUACAAAACCACAAUCUUGAUAUUCAGAAAGUUUUAACAAAUUUGACUAUGUCCGAGAAACUCACCACAUCCUGUAUACCGAGACCCACGGCAAUUUGGAGCUCUCUAGCCUUGUGUAACGCCGCUAGAUCCGUACAUCCAGGGUUGAGUAAAUGUGUUAGGCCUAUUGCAAAGCAUAGCUGAUUACCAGGAUUGUGAACGUUUAUGAGGUAGGCCCUUUUAUUGCUUAUGAUUUCUGAUUGCAUUAGGCUAUCAAGUUUCCUUCUCUGACCCCCGCCACCCUGGGGUUGACGUAUUAUUUGCACUACAAGCUCGAGGGUCCUAUCAGCUAUGACGGAUAAAUUUGACUGAACAAGUCGUUCUAGCAGGGCGAUAAAUUGUUCAAGAUCUGCUUCGCCAUUGGGUAAAAUAAGAGAUACCGUGCUAUGCUGGCUAUCUCCACAAAUUUCCAACUGUACGACAUCACGUGGUUCGCCAUAAUCUCUAGCCCUGUCUAACAGUUCGUUCAGAGUAUCCAAUAUCAUUACGUAAAACACAGCAUAGUCAAGAUUCUGAUUCACCCAUGUGAAAUUGAAAAACUGUUGAAUCUCUGUAUUGUUGAAUUUAUUUCGGUACAUAACACGGACAUUUCUAUCAAUACCAUCUCCGUCCUGAUUUAUUAGACAAUUUUCCAAUUCCUCAAAAACAUCGUAUUGCGUUUCAGACUUCUGACCUGGGCGUUAAUGGGUGGUUUUGCGGGGUGUGCGGUGCAGAAGAUUUUAGGCUCAUUCAUCUGAUUAAUUAGGUAUAUGAGGGCUUCGGGAAUCUGUGAUAACAGGUUUUCAUGGGUUGUCCCUGAAUCUUUCAUACGAUUAAUAAUUCGGAUGGAACCUGUGAUAAUAUGCUUUCAUCUAUCGGUAUUAUGUCUGUUACCCCCGCCUCGUUCAUAUGUUUAAUUAUAGCUUGAAGUUCGGGCGGUAUCUGUGAUAAAAGGAGGCCGUUAUCCUUCUUGGCGGUAUGUCAGCUGUAAACACAAAAAUAGCUUUUAAUAUAGGGUGCACACUUUUUGUUUUUAAUGUAUAAAUAUUCUUGUGUAUGUGAUUAUUGGACUUACGUCUACAAUAAUGGGAUGGGGACUGGCUGCAUGGGUUUUGUUCCAGAUCAUUUAUCCCUCUGAGCAACUGCGUAAAGGUUGGAGACCCUACAAACGUUAGAUAAUAUUAACAUAUAUUUAUCAAAAUAACAGCAACAGUGUGUGAAAACCUUGUGAAGACUUACAGAAAACGUUUGACCUCUGUCAUUGCCAACAAAGGGUAUAUAACAAAGUAUUGAGAAACCUUUGCUAUUGACCAAAUACUUAUUUUCCACCAUAAUUUGCAAAUAAAUGUAUUAAAAAUCCAACAAUGUGAUUUUCUGGAUUUUUUUGCUCAUUUUGUCUGUCAUAGUUGAAGUGUACCUAUGAUGAAAAUUACAGGCCUCUCUCAUCUUUUUAAGUGGGAGAACUUGCACAAUUGGUGGCUGACUAAAUACUUUUUUGCCCCACUGUACGUGCAUUUGACAAAUUUGUUAAAAAAUCAUUGCCCCCCGUUUAAAAAACCAUAUCACCCCGGUUUAAUAUUACAAUAAUAUCAAUAAUAUUCAAACAAUUCCCCGCAUCCAAAUCUAAUAUAUUAUUUUCACUAACUGACCUCCAGAAAGCUCCAUUAGGACGGAUUCACGGAUGGUCUUUUAGCUGUUCUGGGCUGUUGGCUUGGUGUUUGGAGUUGCGCAAAUGCCUUUCGUACAGAGUGGAUAGGAUCUGUUUCACUGGCCUCGCUUCGCAGUCGUGUCUCUAGUGAGAGAUAGUCCGUAAUGGUUUUACAGAGUGGUGGUGACGUUUUUUCGGUCGGCCAUAUAAUAUCGGAAUGUUUAGAUUGACCCCAAAACCACCGGUGGUUAUCUAGACAUAUUCUGUCUGCCGGGAUUUCCUUUUGAUUUGCUGCCCGCUCAUGGGUAGCUGCGUGGGGGGUGUCCGAUUAUAAAUUUAUAGACCUGUGUGGGGGGCCGUUUGUAUAUGCGCGGAUUAGAAAUAACAUAUGUUUUAACCCCAGGGAUCGGUCUAGACAAGAUAUAUUCUGCCUGGGUUGUUUGACUUUUUAGCCCCCUCACCCCCUCAUCCUUGGAGGUGAGAUAAAUACGUAUUGGAAAGGCUUGUGUGGUAAAUUAAUCGGAAGUGCCCAUUUGAAGAGUCGCACAAACACAGCCCCCAUACAACCCCACACACUUUUUUUUUGGAUUGGGGUAGCCAGAUAUCUUGACCGAAAGAGAGAGAUACAGCCUUGAGUGCAGAUGCCAGGGCAUUGUUGAACACACACCCUUCCCCUUUUGUUUUUGAAACACACACACCUACACUCGCACGCACGCACACGCCCGCACACACACGCGCGCACACGUCUUUUCCGAAAUUAUUUCUCUCAGGGACCGAUUGGGAGAGAGAGAGGCGAGUGAUAUUCCUUUCUUUAAACAGUGAGAUACCAUUUUAUUUAAUACAUAAUAUUUCGUACAGACCUUUUAAAAACAUCUUAUAAUUAAUCCCCAACAUUUUACACAUCAUUACCAGACCUUACUAAACUUUUAAUAACCUUUAAUGUUUAUAACAUAACGUUGUAGGAAAGACUGUAUUUGUAUAAAAUAAGACAAUGCAUUUCUCAGCGACAGACCGGGGCUAGAGAGAAAAGCCCGCUUCCCGUUCGUUAAGGGUUGAGAUAUAGCAUUAAUCCCCAUUCAUUCUAAAUCUUUAGUACAUACAGUUUAAAACAUCUUAUAAUUAAUUUUUUUAAAUGUACGAUUCAUUUAUUACAGAUAAAGGGCCCGGUUAGCCCUGACCGGCAUCUGUCUCCAAUUCCCCGUCGUCAAGACAGGCUCUCUUGCAUGCUCCAGCAUGGUUUCGUAAGUUUUCACUCCAGGGAUAGAUCAAACGUCGGACCUGUAGAUCCUGGGUAUGUCUUAAGGAUAGACGCGGCCAGCUCCGUAAUUAUUUACGAUUUUGGAAAAAACUGUCCAGCUUAUUCAUCAGUGUUAUGAAUAUGGGAUAAUCAAGCCAUUUAAAGCUUAACACUGGCAUAAAAAAGUUUACAUCCUUGCAGGCUUCGGAAAAUACAUAUGAACUGACAGACUUCGUCGCAUUUGUACUAUCAAAUUGUUCACAUGCUAAAAUUGUCACUUUGGAGUCGGGGCUAUACGCCAUUGAAGCGAUUCUUAGGGACUUCAGAUCACUGCGGCGGCAGACCAGUUGUUCCAUUGCAUAUCCUGGCAGGGUUGAACCACUCAGAGCCUGUUCAAUUUGACAGAGCGCUAGCCUUAUCUUAAGCCAUUCUCUCAUCCGCAGCGCAGGAGAAAAACUCCCGGGUGUUUCAUGAUAAAGGGGUUUGGGGCCACUGUCUGUGAAUAUCUUAACCGUAGAAUCCUCCGGUUGGAAUAUGUAAGACAUAUGUCCCUCACUCGUACCCAAAACUCCUUUAAAACAUUCUGGGGCCUCACACAGAACUUCCUCUAUGUUUUUGCCAUUGUGUUUAUGACAAGAGAUGCAUAGCACCCCGAGAAUUGGCCUAGGAGACAUAAUUUCCUGUUUAAUGUUCAGGGAUUUAUUUUUAAAAUCUUGUUUAGUGUUCUGGGGCCGCAUGUCUUGUUCUGGGCUUUAUUUAUAAUGUGUCUGCCGCAAAUACAACCCCCCCGGACAUUCCUACUUCAUAGACAACAACCCUAAGGGCAAUAAAAUAGGGUGGGUGUGGGGUCACCCUCUUUGAAAUGUUCAAACACAUCCCCCCCAGUUCAACCAGGUCCCUACACAUCAAUCAUCAUGACAACUUCAAAGGAAUAGAUGCUAUAUAGAUAUAAAAAUAACACACCCUCUAACACAUGACAACAGGAACAGGAUGUCCUGGCCGGAUGCCCAUAUUUGGGCAUGUACGUGUCAUCCGGACAUAGGGUCAUAAAUCAAAAUUUUGACCCGUGCCGUCUACUUUAUUUUCUCUCAUAUGUGUUCCAUAAAUUCCAUUCUAGUCAUUUCAAUGAGCCGGUCCUCCUAUAGCUCCUCCCACCAGCCUCCGCUGAUAUGAAGUAAUAAAAACUUCUCACUCCCGUUGAAGAAUCAUUGAAAGGAAUAGAUGCAAUAUAGGCUGAGUUCCGGAGGGAAAAGGAAGAGAAUUGGCCAAUUGUGAAUGGAUGAUAACUGUGUAAAAUACUUUUAAAAAACUGUAAAUAUUUAAUAAAUAAAAUAAAAACUCACUGUUUGAGUUUGUUGUUGCUCUAAGGCCAGAAAUAAAUUUGACUGCAGGUUGUCGACAAUGCAUCUUCGGAAGGCAAUUUCUGAUUGAGUCAACAUAUGCAGCGGUUACCGUGAAUGAGAUCUCCGUGACCGUGAGAACAUUGAGUUUAUUCAAAUCUGCAUUGCUGAUAACCUGCAGUCAGAUUGAAUCCCGGCCUAGCACUUGUCUUUUCACUGGGCUUUGCUGAUAGCUGCUUUAUUAGAGAACGUUUUUACUUGCAAUGACUUUGAUUUGUGGUUGUCUUACCUACAGUACCUUAGUGCGUUCAACUGACUGUAGUCACUCUGGAUAAGAGAGUCUAGAAUGUGAUUACAAUAUAAAAAUGAAUAAUAAAGAAAGACGAACAACAUCACAGUUUCCCGAAGUGUAAAUAGGAUAACUGUUUUUGAUACAAAGCGACUAGUCAUUGGCCUUCCAAGGAGGAUUACAAACAAGUACAUCUGCUAUUCAGUGUCCUUGUUCAGGACCUAUAACAACAGUACAAUAGAGAGAGGGCAUAUCUUUGCAUCCUUGUAACAAUGGCUUCUAUGAUAGCAUGGACGGUGCAAU